CGGACGGGUGAGUAACGCGUGGGGAACCUGCCUUGCACCGGGGGAUAACACUUAGAAAUAGGUGCUAAUACCGCAUAAGCGCACAGAGCCGCAUGGCUCAGUGUGAAAAACUCCGGUGGUGCAAGAUGGACCCGCGUCUGAUUAGCUGGUUGGCGGGGUAACGGCCCACCAAGGCGACGAUCAGUAGCCGGCCUGAGAGGGUGAACGGCCACAUUGGGACUGAGACACGGCCCAAACUCCUACGGGAGGCAGCAG
rnacentral:rRNA from 1 species